UUAAAUUGAAGAGUUUGAUCAUGGCUCAGAUUGAACGCUGGCGGCAGGCCUAACACAUGCAAGUCGAACGGUAACAGGAAACAGCUUGCUGUUUCGCUGACGAGUGGCGGACGGGUGAGUAAUGUCUGGGAAACUGCCUGAUGGAGGGGGAUAACUACUGGAAACGGUAGCUAAUACCGCAUAACGUCGCAAGACCAAAGAGGGGGACCUUCGGGCCUCUUGCCAUCGGAUGUGCCCAGAUGGGAUUAGCUAGUAGGUGGGGUAACGGCUCACCUAGGCGACGAUCCCUAGCUGGUCUGAGAGGAUGACCAGCCACACUGGAACUGAGACACGGUCCAGACUCCUACGGGAGGCAGCAGUGGGGAAUAUUGCACAAUGGGCGCAAGCCUGAUGCAG
rnacentral:rRNA from 1 species